CAGCAGCCGCGGUAAUACGUAGGGUGCGAGCGUUAAUCGGAAUUACUGGGCGUAAAGCGUGCGCAGGCGGUUAUGUAAGACAGAUGUGAAAUCCCCGGGCUCAACCUGGGAAUGGCAGUGGAUACUGGCUCGCUAGAGUGUGUCAGAGGAUGGUGGAAUUCCCGGUGUAGCGGUGAAAUGCGUAGAGAUCGGGAGGAACAUCAGUGGCGAAGGCGGCCAUCUGGGACAACGCUGACGCUGAGGCACGAAAGCGUGGGGAGCAAACAGGAUUAGAUACCCCGGUAGUCCCUGUCUCUUAUAA
rnacentral:rRNA from 1 species